GAAAAAGUAAAACUCAAAUUGGAACAGUUAGCUCACUGAUUGAGGUUGAUUUUGCUAAGGAUACACCGAAAAAUCUGCGAACUACUUACACCUAUCCAUCUAACCUCUUAUUCAGCAACGGUACCGCGGGGAAUUCAGAUACUUGUGCUCAGAAGGAUCGCCGUGAAAGAAACUCGAAAUUCAGAAGAAAUGUACGGAUUUC
rnacentral:misc_RNA from 1 species